UAAUGCCUAGGAAUCUGCCUGGUAGUGGCCGUGAUAACGUUCGGAAACGGACGCUAAUACCGCAUACGUCCUACGGGAGAAAGCAGGGGACCUUCGGGCCUUGCGCUAUCAGAUGAGCCUAGGUCGGAUUAGCUAGUUGGUGAGGUAAUGGCUCACCAAGGCGACGAUCCGUAACUGGUCUGAGAGGAUGAUCAGUCACACUGGAACUGAGACACGGUCCAGACUCCUACGGGAGGCAGCAGUGGGGAAUAUUGGACAAUGGGCGAAAGCCUGAUCCAGCCAUGCCGCGUGUGUGAAGAAGGUCUUCGGAUUGUAAAGCACUUUAAGUUGGGAGGAAGGGCAGUUACCUAAUACGUGAUUGUUUUGACGUUACCGACAGAAUAAGCACCGGCUAACUCUGUGCCAGCAGCCGCGGUAAUACAGAGGGUGCAAGCGUUAAUCGGAAUUACUGGGCGUAAAGCGCGCGUAGGUGGUUAGUUAAGUUGGAUGUGAAAUCCCCGGGCUCAACCUGCGAACUGCAUUCAAAACUGACUGACUAGAGUAUGGUAGAGGGUGGUGGAAUUUCCUGUGUAGCGGUGAAAUGCG
rnacentral:rRNA from 1 species